CUGCAUCUACCUCUCCCAUGGCACCAACUUAGAGGAGCCUGUUGCUCCUCCGUGCAAGUGUCUUUUCCAUUUUGCUCUGUAUCGCAAUUCUGUAAAAAAAUACCAUAAUAAAUAGCUAACAGUUUGUGGGCUUUUUGUGUCAAUGAAAAUCUUUUGCCUGAGGCAGCUGCCUCACUUUGCCUAUUGGUAGGGCCAAUCUUGCACCCUGCAAAUACCAGCAGCACCCUCCCAGGCUCUCAUCUCUUCAGAAAGAGCUGUGACCUGCUGGCCUGGUCACCCAGGAUCACCUAACCUCCCUCAAGUCAUUGGCUUCCUUUUUAGAAAGGAGAUGGGUGGUGGGUGAGCAAACAGGUGGUGAAGAAAGGUGGAGGGAGUCGCAGAAAGAAGUUCCAUUUCUGUUAGUAGUGGUCCCCCUAUUAAGUUCCUUCCUUUGGACAAGGCUACAAUCAAGGCUUGUACAGUACGUGUAAAAACUGUUGCUGUGAUUGGAGGUUGCUUUACAGCUACAGUACAAGUUGCACCAGAGAAGGGGCAUGGGAAUUGAAAUCUGCUGUUUCUCCAUCACGGAGUCCAGAGACUUUCACACAGAGCUUGAAGCUCAGGAGACAUAAAGAAACAAGCUGGAAGAGAAAGGAAGCAACUUCAAAAUGAAAUUCUAUAAUAAAGCGAAACAGUAAC